rnacentral:rRNA from 1 species
GUCUACAGCCAUCCCACCCUGAACAAGUCCAAUCCCAUCUGAUCUCAGAAGCUAAUCAGGGUCAGGUCUGGUUAGUACUUGGAUGGGAGACCUCCUAGGAAGACCAGGUGCUGUAGGCA